rnacentral:rRNA from 1 species
AGUGAACGCUGGCGGUAGGCCUAACACAUGCAAGUCGAACGGCAGCACAGUAAGAGCUUGCUCUUACGGGUGGCGAGUGGCGGACGGGUGAGGAAUACAUCGGAAUCUACUUUUUCGUGGGGGAUAACGUAGGGAAACUUACGCUAAUACCGCAUACGACCUACGGGUGAAAGCAGGGGAUCUUCGGACCUUGCGCGAUUGAAUGAGCCGAUGUCGGAUUAGCUAGUUGGCGGGGUAAAGGCCCACCAAGGCGACGAUCCGUAGCUGAUCUGAGAGGAUGAUCAGCCACACUGGAACUGAGACACGGUCCAGACUCCUACGGGAGGCAGCAGUGGGGAAUAUUGGACAAUGGGCGCAAGCCUGAUCCAGCCAUACCGCGUGGGUGAAGAAGGCCUUCGGGUCGUAAAGCCCUUUUGUUGGGAAAGAAAAGCAGCAGGUUAAUACCCCGCUGUUCUGACGGUACCCAAAGAAUAAGCACCGGCUAACUUCGUG